rnacentral:rRNA from 1 species
GAUGAACGCUGGCGGCGUGCCUAAUACAUGCAAGUCGAGCGAAGGGACGAGAAACUUGCUUCUCUUAUGUUAGCGGCGGACGGGUGAGUAACGCGUGGAUAACCUGCCUAUAAGACUGGGAUAACUUCUGGAAACCGAAGCUAAUACCGGAUAAUAUUUUUAACCACAAGGUUCAAGAUUGAAAGACGGUCUUGCUUUACCUUAUAAAGUGAUCCGCGCUGCAUUAGCUAGUUGGUAAGGUAAAGGCUUACCAAGGCAACGAUGCAUAGCCGACCUGAGAGGGUGAUCGGCCACACUGGAACUGAGACACGGUCCAGACUCCUACGGGAGGCAGCAGUAGGGAAUCUUCCGCAAUGGGCGAAAGCCUGACGGAGCAACGCCGCGUGAGUGAUGAAGGUCUUCGGAUCGUAAAACUCUGUUAUUAGGGAAGAACAUAUGUGUAAGUAAAUGUGCAAUCCUUGACGGUACAUAAUCAGAAAGCCAAGGCUAAAUACGUG